rnacentral:rRNA from 2 species
GAGUAGGACGGAGCACGAGAAACUUUGUCUGAAUAUGGGGGGACCAUCCUCCAAGGCUAAAUACUACUGACUGACCGAUAGUGAACUAGUACCGUGAGGGAAAGGCGAAAAGAACCCCGGAGAGGGGAGUGAAAUAGAUCCUGAAACCGUAUGCGUACAAGCAGUGGGAGCCCACUUUGUUGGGUGACUGCGUACCUUUUGUAUAAUGGGUCAGCGACUUAUUUUCAGUGGCGAGCUUAACCGAAUAGGGGAGGCGUAGCGAAAGCGAGUCUUAAUAGGGCGUCUAGUCGCUGGGAAUAGACCCGAAACCGGGCGAUCUAUCCAUGGGCAGGUUGAAGGUUAGGUAACACUGACUGGAGGACCGAACCGACUACCGUUGAAAAGUUAGCGGAUGACCUGUGGAUCGGAGUGAAAGGCUAAUCAAGCUCGGAGAUAGCUGGUUCUCCUCGAAAGCUAUUUAGGUAGCGCCUCAUGUAUCAC